rnacentral:rRNA from 1 species
UACGGAGGGGGCUAGCGUUGUUCGGAAUUACUGGGCGUAAAGCGCACGUAGGCGGCUUUGUAAGUUAGAGGUGAAAGCCCGGGGCUCAACUCCGGAAUUGCCUUUAAGACUGCAUCGCUAGAAUUGUGGAGAGGUAAGUGGAAUUCCGAGUGUAGAGGUGAAAUUCGUAGAUAUCAAGCGGAACACCGGUGGCGAAGGCGGCCUUCUGGACAGUGACUGACGCUGAGAUGCGAAAGCGUGGGGAGCAAACAGG